CCCUUAGAUGCUCUGGGCCGCACGCGCGCUACACUGGUCGAUGCAACGAGUUUCUUUCCUUGGCCGACAGGCCUGGGCAAUCUUUGAACAUCGAUCGUGAUCGGGAUAGAUUCUUGUAAUUUUUGAUCUUAAACGAGGAAUUCCUAGUAAACGCAAGUCAUCAACUUGCAUUGAUUACGUCCCUGCCCUUUGUACACACCGCCCGUCGCACCUACCGAUUGAAUGGUCCGGUGAAGCCUCCGGAUUGGCGCGCACCCCGGUGCCGCCGAGAAGUUGGCUAAACCUUACCAUUUAGAGGAAGGUGAAGUCGUAACA
rnacentral:rRNA from 1 species